UCACAACAGAAGACACAGAAAUCCUCCUCAUCAAAAACAUGACUUUGAUCUGCGUCCUCAUCUGGACUCUCCUCUGCUUCACUCAGGGGUCUGAGGGACAAAAUGUUGUUGUGACUCAACCAGCAGCCAAAUCAGUGCAGCUCAGUCAGACUGUCACUAUUGAUUGUAAGGUCAGUAGACAAGUGGGUCACCACUCUGGUUCACAGUACUACCUGUCCUGGUACCAUCAGAGACCUGGAGAAGCUCCUAAAGCUCUGAUCUACCGAACAUCAGACAGAUUGUCAGGAAUCUCCUCCAGAUUCAGUGGAAGUGGAGCAGGGAAUGGAUUAGACUUCACUCUGACCAUCAGUGGAGUCCAGGCUGAAGAUGCUGGAGUUUAUUACUGUCAGAGUUAUCAUUACAUCAACAGUCAGAACGUGUUCACACAGUGAAAAAUCAUCGUACAAAAACCUCCCUCAGUCUGACUGAACAGAAACUGAACUUUGUUCUGCAGCUGGAAUCUGCAGCAGACACUGAUACAGU